UACGUAGGGGGCAAGCGUUGUCCGGAAUCAUUGGGCGUAAAGAGCGUGUAGGCGGCUCGAUAAGUCCGCUGUGAAAGUCCAGGGCUCAACCCUGGGAUGCCGGUGGAUACUGUCGGGCUCGAGUCCGGAAGAGGCGAGUGGAAUUCCUGGUGUAGCGGUGAAAUGCGCAGAUAUCAGGAGGAACACCAAUGGCGAAGGCAGCUCGCUGGGACGUGACUGACGCUGAGACGCGAAAGCGUGGGGAGCAAACAGG
rnacentral:rRNA from 1 species